rnacentral:rRNA from 1 species
AUGUUUUCCUCGCAGUCCAUGAGCCGCGUGAACAAUAUCAGGACCGCGCUCAUCAACGCGCAGAAGGGCAACCAGACGGUUGCCGCCUACUUCGCCUCCCUCCGUGGUCUCGCCGACGAGCUCGCCGCGGUCGGGAAGGCCAUCCAAGACGACGAACUAAUCUCCUACAUCAUCCAUGGCCUCGACGUCGACUACCAGCCUCUCGUCUCUGCCCUCGACGCACGCGUCACACCGGUCUCCCUCGACGAACUCUACGCCAUGCUCAGCAACUUCGACCAGCGCAUGGCUCAGUUCAAUCACUCGGGCAGCGGCGGCUUCCGUUCCUCUGCCAACGCUGCCGUGCGUGGUCGUGGCGGCGGAUCGCGUGGUCGUGGCUCCUCUCGCGCAAAAGGACGCUCUGGAGGCAACAGCCGCUCUGGCGCGUCUCGCGGUCGCCGCGGCGGCGGUCCCCCUCGCGCUCGACCGGAGCUUCCCCGCUGUCAGAUCUGCGGUAAGCCAGGGCAUACCGCACGGGACUGCUGGUACUGCUGGUAUCGGCUGAUGGAUCCUACGGCAUCGACACAAAUUGGUAUGUUGAUAGCGGGGCCACUAACCACAUCACAAAUGAGCUUGAGAAGGUCACGAUGA